rnacentral:rRNA from 1 species
GAUGAACGCUAGCGGGAGGCCUAAUACAUGCAAGUCGAACGGUAACAGGGUAGCAAUACCGCUGACGAGUGGCGCACGGGUGAGUAACGCGUACACAACCUGCCUUAUACUGGAGCAUAGCCUUGGGAAACUAAGAUUAAUUCUCCAUAACAUUAUGAAACGGCAUCGUUUUAUAAUUAAAAUUCCGAUGGUAUAAGAUGGGUGUGCGUCUGAUUAGCUAGUUGGUGAGGAAAGGCUCACCAAGGCAACGAUCAGUAACUGGUCUGAGAGGAUGAUCAGUCACACGGGCACUGAGACACGGGCCCGACUCCUACGGGAGGCAGCAGUAGGGGAUA